rnacentral:lncRNA from 1 species
AAUUAUCAAUAACGGAAAUAAACUAACACCAAAUCACAUCAACUAAUUUUGGUUCUCUCUACCAUCUUUCAUUUCAUUUUCUUCAGGUGGUAUAGUGAAAUCUUCAUCAAAAUCUAAAAAUCACAAAUAUAAAAGUGAAAAGGGAAAACCUAACUUUUCUUUUUUUGUCAGACCUAACUUCUUAAUUAGAAACUGAAAAUAUAAAACAUAAUUUAAAACUAAAAAAAAAAAGUUAUUUAUUGGUUCACCUGGUGGUUCAACCGGUAUCGAGUUCUAGGUUUUACUGGAUUUUUGCGGGUUUCUAAAUAUUGAUUUUUUUACAAAACCCAAACCAGACUUUUUCUGGGUCACCGGAUUUACCGGUUCAAUCGCGGCAGGUCCGGGUCGGGUUUCAAAAACACUGGUUAUGAGUCAAAUGCAAGACAAGUUUUUUUAAAUAAAUUUAAACCUCCACAUAUAAAUCGAACCAAACUAAAACAUACCAA